GCCAGGUUGGAGAACACGCCCAAAUCAGGCUUCUGCGAUGGUCGCCUGGUUUUGCUCCUCAUACGCCAUGGCCACGACAGCCAGGAUCAAGUUCACAAGGUAAAACGAACCCAGAAAUAUCACCAGCACAAAGAAAAUCAUGUAGGUCUUCCCUGCUGACCGCAAAGUCUGCCGCGGAGAGGAAGAUAGCAGAGGGAAGCAAGAAAGUCGUAUAAAGUUGGAAUGACACAAAUGUUUUAAUAGAGCCUGAACAUGGAUUUUCAGAGCCUGUGGCAUUUGGGGACAAAACAAGAUAUCGCUGGCCCUAUCUGAACUGUCCAGUCAGAGGAGACUCUGCGUCACAACAU